rnacentral:sRNA from 1 species
UGCACGACGCAAUUUCAUUGAGGGC